CAGAUCACUAAAGAUUCCCCAUUGACUCCAAUGUUAAUUCUCGUAUCUUAGACCGGCUCUAACUUUUUCCCAAAUUUUCGUUGGGUAGAACGCUUUCUACCACAGAUGGAGCAACAUGUGGCAACCACUUGCCCAAAAGCACGUAUGAGGUUCUUCAUGAAAAACUUGAGAUACACAAGCUGGAAGUAGAGACAAAUAAACAUGCAAUUUCAGGCCCUACAUUUCAACGUAACCAACCUCUCAACUCUUGUAUCCUUCCGCAUCAAAAUUAUGAAUAUUCACCAAAACCUGGCAGAAAAUGUAUUUUCAAACCCUUUUCCUCAAUUCUACACCAAAAAGUCAACAAAAAUUGCCAUGCAAAAGGGGGAAAAAGGAAAAGGGAGAGGAAGACUAAAAAUAGCUUUGGCCCUUGUUUCGUGGGUGACGGCGUAGGAAUAUUUGGUGAUCUGUGUCCAUAUAUUUUCUCGAAAACGUAUAUUUUAGAUGUCUACUAUGAUACGAGUUUUAGAUUUAACUCCUACCUCACCAACAAAACCUAAAGAAUCCAGAUUACGACGAUGGAGAAGGAAAGCGGCUUAAAACUUAAAGAAACUCUUCACAUGCUGUGUUCAAACAGAUGACAUCAAGUGUGUCUAAGAAUUCAAUAAAAACAUUUAAAUUUUGACGAAAUUAAAGAACGAUACCCCCCCCCCCCUCCAAAAAACAAAAGGACAAAAAAGUCUACAAUUUGAAAUCUAUUUGUUAUUACCGCCAUAUACAUUAUUUAUGUAAUAUUUUUAUAUAAAGUUUCAUAACGAA